rnacentral:miRNA from 1 species
UGAGGCAGGAGAAUUGCUUGAACCCAGGAAGUGGAGGUUGCAGUGAGCCAAGAUUGUGCCACUGUACUCCAGCCUGGGCGACAGAGCAAGACUCCAUCUC